rnacentral:rRNA from 1 species
UAGGGAAUAUUAGUAAUGGGCGAAAGCCUGAACUAGCAACACCGCGUGUGCGAAGAAGGCCUUCGGGUUGUAAAGCACUUUUUGAGAGGAUGAGGAAGGACGGUACUCUCAGAAUAAGUCUCGGCUAACUACGUGCCAGCAGCCGCGGUAACACGUAGGAGGCAAACGUUAUCCGGAUUUACUGGGUGUAAAGCGCGUGUCGGUGGUUUGGUAAGUAGAGCGUGAAAGCUCCUGGCUCAACUGGGAGAGGUCGUUCUAAAGUGCCGGACUAGAGGAUGGUAGAGGGAGGUGGAAUUCCGGGUGUAGCGGUUGAAUGCGCAGAUAUCCGGAGGAACAUCAGUGGCGAAAGCGGCCUCCUUGACCACUCCUGACACUCAGACGCGAAAGCUAGGGUAGCAAACG